ACACAGACACACAGCGAGUGGGUCACGGUGACACUGCCUGCGGGGUACAGUGACACAUGGAGACUGCCUGACCUCAAGUAACUCUGUGGGGAGAGGGAACAGCCAGAGGACCCAGCCCCGGCGUGCCCCACUCUUGCCCUGUCCUGAGCCUCCAGGUUCAUCUCCGGCAUCUACUGGCCUCCAGAGAAAAAGAACAGAAGUUCCCAGCGGCGGUUCUGCAACAGCUCGAGCGCGGGGGACACGCGCAGCAGACGGCCCCAGACGCCUCAAGGCUGCGCGCGAAGACACGGCGCAGGCAGACUCACAGACGGGGCUCCCCCACCCUGGACACGGCGGCAGCGAGUUGGGAAGCCCAGGAAACCCCGGGUUCCCGUCGGAAGCCUCCCGGUACCCAGUCCCCUCCCGCAGCACCAAUCUGGGGCAGGACAUGGGGCCCCGACGC
rnacentral:lncRNA from 1 species